CUCCAUUGUAAUUGUGAGUUUUUCAAAGUUUGACCGGCCGUUUUAUUAAAAGAAAAAUUGUAAUUAGUAUUUGUAUUGUUAUUAGAUGAUAAAACAUAAAUAGUACUUUGUGUUACUUAUUUUUUAAUUGUUUUAUAAACUUUUUAAACAAUACGGACGAUCAAACGUUGGACACGAAAAUUCACUAUCAAACUUAAA
rnacentral:pre_miRNA from 1 species